GGUUCGCGCUCCUGGUCGGCUACAAGCACCUGAAGGAGAGGAUGCGAGACCAAGGGUGGCGUCAGGCUGUGGACCGCAGAGCGGAGGCUCCCCACCCUGUGAAUACAGGCGUCCAACGCUUUGAACAACUGAAUCUCGGGGGUCUUGGCCCUCUGUCGCCCACCGCUUUGGGAUUCCCUGCGUUCUAGAAGUCUGAGGAGUUACUUCACACAGCAGAAAGACGGACGGCCUCCGCCGUGAGAAUUACGCAAAGAAAGGAGUUACUGUGCUGGCUGGGGUGAUUGAUCCUGACUACCAAGGGGAAAUUGGACUACUCAUCCACCAUAGAAGGAAAGAAGAGUAUGUCUGAAAUACAGGGGAUCCCUUCGUAUUACCAUGCCCUGUGAUUAAGGCCAAUGGAAAACUACAACAACCCAACCCAGACAGAACAACUAAUGGCUCACAUCCUUCAGGAAUGAAGAUUUGGGUCACCCUAACGGUAAAGAAUCAUGCAUGACCACCUGAGAUGCUGGCUGAAGACAAAGGGAAAACAGAAUGGGUAGUGGAAGAAGGUAGUUAUAAAUACAAGCAAUGACCAUGUGACUAGUUAUAGAAGUGAGGACUAUAAUUGUCAUGAGUAUUUAUCCUUACUUUGUUAUGCAUGUGUGUGCGUGUAUUUCAUAAAUACCUUUGUUUUCUUCCCUCUUGUAUUUCCUUAUCAUAUAAUGUAAGAUAUAUUGACUUUAUGUCAUAAUAUUUAAGUAUUGUUAAUUUUACAUUAUAGAAUUUGAAUUAUGGGAUAUCAAGAAGAGUGAACAUCAUCCAACAAUAUUACCUCCCUUUCAAGGGAAAGGGUUAGAAUGUUUUUGGUUUAUGCAAGAUAUUAUGUCAUGUUAGGUAGAAUUAUGACCUUGUUAUUGUUAUUAUUUAGAGAUUAAAUUUGGUUUAAGGAGAUGCGUAUGGGUUCCAAGUUGACAAGGGGUGGACUUCUUUCUGAUGGUUAAUUGUAUAUAUCAACUUGACUGGGCCAUGGAGUGCCCAACAUUUAGUCAAACAUUAUUUUGGGUUUGUCUGUGAGGAUGUUUCUGGAUAAGCUAACAUUUGAAUGAGUACACUGAAUAAAGCAGAUUGCCCUCCCUAA